GACGAACGCUGGCGGCGUGCUUAACACAUGCAAGUCGAACGGUAAGGCCCUUCGGGGUACACGAGUGGCGAACGGGUGAGUAACACGUGGGUGAUCUGCCCUGCCCUUCGGGAUAAGCCUGGGAAACUGGGUCUAAUACCUGCUAGGACCACUUCCUGCAUGGGUGGUGGUGGAAAGCUUUUGCGGUGUGGGAUGGGCCCGCGGUCUAUCAGCUUGUUGGUGGGGUGAUGGCCUACCAAGGCGACGACGGGUAGCCGGCCUGAGAGGGUGACCGGCCACACUGGGACUGAGAUAAGGCCAAGACUCCUACGGGAGGCAGCAGUGGGGAAUAUUGCACAAUGGGCGCAAGCCUGAUGCAGCGACGCCGCGUGAGGGAUGACGGCCUUCAGGUUGUAAACCUCUUUCAGCACCGACGAAGCGCAAGUGACGGUAGGUGCAGAAGAAGGACCGGCCAACUACGUGCCAGCCGCCGCCGUAA
rnacentral:rRNA from 1 species